rnacentral:rRNA from 1 species
UACGUAGGGGGCAAGCGUUGUCCGGAAUCAUUGGGCGUAAAGCGCGUGUAGGCGGCUCGAUAAGUCUGCUGUGAAAGUCCAAGGCUCAACCUUGGGAUGCCGGUGGAUACUGUCGAGCUCGAGUCCGGAAGAGGAGAGUGGAAUUCCCGGUGUAGCGGUGAAAUGCGCAGAUAUCGGGAGGAACACCAAUGGCGAAGGCAGCUCGCUGGGACGGUACUGACGCUGAGACGCGAAAGCGUGGGGAGCAAACAGG